GCCGAAGUGGCGAAAUCUGGCAGACGCGCCAUCUUGAGGGGGUGGUGAGCGAAAGCUCUUGAGGGUUCAAAUCCCUCCUUCGGCACCA
rnacentral:tRNA from 1 species